rnacentral:rRNA from 1 species
ACAUACACCGGAAAGCAUUAGAGAUAGUGCCCCCCUUGUGGUCGGUGUACAGGUGGUGCAUGGCUGUCGUCAGCUCGUGUCGUGAGAUGUUGGGUUAAGUCCCGCAACGAGCGCAACCCUUGUCCCGUGUUGCCAGCAGGCCCUUGUGGUGCUGGGGACUCACGGGAGACCGCCGGGGUCAACUCGGAGGAAGGUGGGGACGACGUCAAGUCAUCAUGCCCCUUAUGUCUUGGGCUGCACACGUGCUACAAUGGCCGGUACAAUGAGCUGCGAUACCGUGAGGUGGAGCGAAUCUCAAAAAGCCGGUCU